rnacentral:rRNA from 1 species
UGGCGCACGGGUGAGUAACGCGUGGAUAAUCUACCCGAUGAUCUGGGAUAACAUUUCGAAAGGGGUGCUAAUACCGGAUAAGACCACGGGCUCUUCGGAGUCUGCGGUAAAAGGUGGGGACCUUCGGGCCUACCGUUAUCGGAUGAGUCCGCGUACCAUUAGCUAGUUGGUGGGGUAAGAGCCUACCAAGGCGACGAUGGUUAGCUGGUCUGAGAGGAUGAUCAGCUACACUGGAACUGAGACACGGUCCAGACUCCUACGGGAGGCAGCAGUGGGGAAUUUUGCGCAAUGGGGGAAACCCUGACGCAGCAACGCCGCGUGAGUGAUGAAGGCCUUCGGGUCGUAAAGCUCUGUCUAGAGGGAAGAAAUGAUAGUCGGUUAAUACCCGGUUUUCUUGACGG